GGAAGUGACGCGGCGAGGGCGGGCCGUCCAGGGAAGCCGCCACCACCGCCGCCUCCGCCUGGGCCGGGAAGCGAUGUAGGAGCCGCCUGGCCGUCCGCCCCCCGCCCUGCCCGGCCAGAGCCCAGCGGGCCGCAGCCACCGCCGCCAUGAAGAAGCAGUUCAACCGCAUGAAGCAGCUGGCCAACCAGACCGUGGGCAGAGCUGAGAAAACAGAAGUCCUCAGUGAAGAUCUGCUACAGAUUGAGCGGCGCCUGGAUGCUGUGCGGUCCAUGUGCCACCAUUCCCAUAAGCGUCUGAUUGCGUGCUUCCAGGGCCAGCAUGGCACCGAAUCUGAGAGGAGACACAAAAAACUCCCUCUGACAGCACUUGCUCAGAAUAUGCAAGAAGCAUCAACUCAGCUGGAAGAAUCUCUCCUGGGGAAGAUGCUGGAGACAUGCGGAGAUGCUGAGAAUCAGCUGGCUCUGGAGCUCUCUCAGCAUGAAGUGUUUGUGGAAAAGGAGAUCGUGGACCCUCUCUACAGCAUAGCGGAGGUGGAGAUCCCCAACAUCCAGAAGCAGAGGAAACAGCUUGCUAGAUUGGUGUUGGACUGGGAUUCGGUCAGAGCCAGGUGGAACCAAGCUCACAAAUCUUCAGGCACCAACUUCCAGGGGCUCCCAUCAAAAGUAGAUACUCUAAAGGAAGAGAUGGAUGAAGCCGGAAAUAAAGUAGAGCAGUGCAAGGAUCAGCUCGCGGCAGACAUGUACAACUUCGUGGCCAAAGAAGGGGAGUACGGCACAUUUUUUGUUACGUUAUUAGAAGCCCAAGCAGAUUACCAUAGAAAAGCAUUAGCAGUCUUAGAAAAGGCCCUUCCCGAAAUGCGAGCUCAUCAAGACAAGUGGGCAGAGAAGCCCGCCUUCGGCACGCCUUUGGAGGAGCACCUGAAGCGGAGCGGGCGUGAGAUCGCACUUCCCAUUGAGGCCUGCGUCAUGCUGCUCCUGGAGACGGGCAUGAAGGAGGAGGGCCUUUUCCGAAUUGGGGCUGGCGCCUCCAAGUUAAAGAAGCUGAAAGCUGCUUUGGACUGCUCCACUUCUCACUUGGAUGAAUUCUAUUCUGACCCCCAUGCUGUGGCAGGUGCUUUGAAGUCCUAUUUACGGGAAUUGCCUGAACCUUUGAUGACUUUUAAUCUGUAUGAAGAAUGGACACAAGUUGCAAGUGUGCAGGAUCAAGACAAAAAACUUCAAGAUUUAUGGAGAACAUGUCAGAAGUUGCCACCACAGAAUUUUGUUAACUUUAGGUAUUUGAUCAAGUUCCUUGCAAAACUUGCUCAGACCAGUGAUGUUAAUAAAAUGACUCCCAGCAACAUUGCAAUUGUGUUAGGCCCAAACUUGUUAUGGGCCAAAAAUGAAGGAACACUCGCUGAGAUCGCAGCAGCCACGUCGGUGCAUGUGGUUGCAGUGAUUGAACCCAUCAUUCAGCACGCCGACUGGUUCUUCCCUGAAGAGGUGGAAUUUAAUGUAUCAGAAGCCUUUGUGCCUCUUGCCACCCCGAAUUCUAAUCAAUCAUCCCACACUGGAAAUGACUGUGACUCAGGCGCCCCGGAGAGGAAGCGGCCUGCCAGCAUGGCGGUGAUGGAAGGAGACCUGGUGAAGAAGGAGAGCUUUGGUGUGAAGCUUAUGGACUUCCAGGCCCACCGGCGGAGUGGUACUCUAAAUAGAAAGCACGUAUCCCCUGCUUUCCAGCCACCACUCCCGCCCACAGAUGGCAGCACCGCGGCUCCUGCAGCCCCGGAGCCCCCUGCCCACAGCUCUCGGGCUGAAAGCAGCUCAGGGGGUGGGACUGUCCCCUCCUCUGCAGGCAUACCGGAGCAAGGGCCGGGCCCAGGUGACAGCAGCCCUCCAAAGCCCAAGGACUCCACACCUGCAGCUGUCCCUGCAUCAGGGAGAAGCAGCAGUCAGACAACCCCUGGCCAGGCCCAGGCCCAGGCCCAGUCAGGUGCUGGCCCCCAUCAGCUCUCGGUCGGCCCAGCCCACAGCGCUGCUGGCCCGAGCCCUCACACUCUUCGCCGGGCUGUUAAAAAACCUGCUCCAGCACCCCCCAAACCAGGAAACCCCCCUCCUGGCCAUCCCGGGGGCCAGAGUUCUCCAGGAUCAUCUCAGCUUCCACCGAGCAUGUCACCAAAGCCAGCCGCUCGAAGUCCUUCUCCCCCGCAGCACACAGGCCAGGCACCGGGCCAACCACUGACCACUGGCCAGCCCUCAGCACCCAGGAGGUACUCCAGCAGCCUGUCGCCAAUCCAAGCACCAAGCCACCCUCCGCCACAGCCCCCAACCCAGGCCACAUCACAGGUGCACAGCAGGCUGGGCGGCCAGGGCGGCCCCUCCUCCGGGGCUCUGCCUGGUGAGCAAGGACUGGAGCAGCCAUCUCAUACCCCUCCCCAGACUCCAACGCCCCCCAGGACCCCGCCUCUAGGGAAACAGAACCUCAGCCCGCCCGGACCUCAGACCCAGGCAGUGAGUGGCCCUGAGACUGCACAGCCGCAUACUGGAACCUUACCGAGACCUAGACCAGUCCCAAAGCCACGGAACCGACCCAGCAUGCCUCCACCCCCACAUCCUCCUGGCGCCCACCCAGCUGGGGACGGCAGCCUCACCGGUGCGGCUCUGACGUCCUCCAGAAUAGGGACAGUAGAUGCCCUUCCUAGCGCCCCCACAGGUGGGGAAGGCUUCCAGGACUGAGAAGAUGUAUGACCUGCCAUAUUCAGUAAGAACUGAAAUUGGAAUGUUUGAUGACACCAAUUCUAGGGUUUCAGAACCACCUCGCAACAUCUUUCCUGAAAUGCACUCAGACUCUGCAAGCGGAGAGGCGCCUGGCCACAUCCUGCUGGACAUGGACAAUGACACGGAAAGCACCGCCUUGUGAGGAGAGCCGCCUCCCGGCCGCGACCCUCCACCCUGGCGAGCGGGCUGGGGCAGACGACCCUCUGUCUCCGCAGACCAGACAGUGAGAAGCUUUGGGUGGCGGAGAAGCCUCGCCACGCAGGACUUGGCCUCUGCACAGCCCACUUAAAGCUGAAUGAGCUGUGUCUUGAAGAAGUUGGCUUUCUUUACGUAGGAAAGAAAUCAUGCCAAAAAGAAGCAAAAGCACAGAAGCCUGAGGUGAGAAGAGUAUGAGUGCCGAGAAGUGUGUGGGGAGCUUGGUCACCGCUGUUCACACAGGCAGCACCGGCAGCAGCUGGAGUGAGCAAGAGGCAACGCGGUUCCUCUGUUUAAUAAAACGCAUCAGCUCCCGAGUCACCUUCUGCCUGCUACUCACACUUCCACUCUCAUGCCGGAGGAGGGAGGCUUCUCUCCUCCAGACUCGCUGCACACCCUUCUGUCUUAAGUCUGCUCUUUGUCUCCCUCAGUCCUCUCGGUCCACGUGCAUUGAUGGUGACUGCUGGACCUGUCACCUCGUCAAACUGGAUUAUGACUGUGCCUUGUGGGGUUGCAGAAUGCAGAUGGAAAUGUACUGUUCUUUUUUUUAACCAUGUAAUUGCUACUUGAUAAGGACCGAACAUUAUUCUAGUUUCAUGUUUAAUUUGAAUUAAAUAUAUUCUGUGGUUUAUA